GGGAGCAGGCCUCCCGAAGCCGGCUUGCAGCAGUUGGCUUCAAACCACCCGGUGCUGCUGCGUUCAAAAGGCGUGGUGGUGAGCGACCGGGCGAAAGUCGCCCCUUGAGGGAUGGCAGGU
rfam:Acidovorax sp. MR-S7 DNA, scaffold: scaffold109, whole genome shotgun sequence.